UAAUAUCACACACAAACAAGACAAGGAAUUUUUAGUCGAUUAAGAUACAAAAGCAGAAACAUACAUAAUUAAAACAACACAUGAAGCUCCUCCUAAACAAGAAUUAUUACAAAGAGAAGAAUGAGACAUAACAUAAGUAAAUUAAACAAACAUUAUGAUUAAUGAUGAAAAAAUUCAUCAAGCAGCUGGAGGGUCAGCAGAAGUCCAGAAAAUAUCUUUCAAAGCAGGACGAAGCUCUUUGCUACAGAACUGAUUAUACUCCAAAGUAUCACCCUUAUCUUUCUUCACCUCCACCACCAGAAACGACGGUGUCACCGCGUAAAUAUCCGCUGCAAUAGCCAACUUUCCUUUCCUCCCUCUUUCUUGCCCUUGAAGUCUCACCUUCGUAUCACUACUCUUCACAUCAAAUUUCACCGCCUUCGCCACUUGUUCCAGUUUCGAUAUCACUCUACUCGGCGUCCCACCCGUUGCAAAUCUCAUCUCCUCCCUCUCUUCUCUCUUCUUCUCUUCAAACAACGGAGACAAAUCAAAUCCUUCUGAUAGUGAAAUUAUAUGAAAAGCAUUCAUUGUCGUCGAUGAUUUCUCACACUCCAUAAAUUCAAACACCUUAUCUUCUUCCUCUUCUUUCUCCUUCUUCCUCAUCGCUAUACUCUUUGGAACCGGUUUCUUAAACCAACUAGAAUCCAUUAUCUUCGAUAUGGAUAUUCUUGUAUUCGGAUUCGGAUCUAGAAGCUUUGUAAUUAACCUCCUAGCUUCCAAAGAAAACCACGGUGGACAUUUGAAAUCACCGCGGUAAAUCUUCUUAUACAUAGCAACCAAAUUAUCAUCCUGAAACGGUAAAAAUCCAGCCAGAAGAACGUAAAGAAUAACACCACAAGACCAAAUAUCAGCCUUAGCACCGUCGUAACCCUUCUUCGCGAUAACCUCCGGCGAAACAUACGCCGGAGUACCACAUGUGGUAUGCAACAAUCCAUCUUGUCUCAAAUGUUCAGAGAAAGUACAGAGACCAAAAUCAGAGACUUUGAGAUUACCGUCUUCGUCGAGGAGGAGAUUCUCCGGCUUGAGAUCACGGUGGUAAACACCGCGACUGUGACAGAAAUCAACGGCUGAGAUCAACUGCUGGAAAUAGACUCUAGCAACGUCUUCUUUGAGUCGACCUUUGACGAUUUUGUUGAAAAGCUCUCCACCGCGAACGAGUUCCAUGGCGAUAUAGAUCUUUGAUUUGGAAGCCAUGACUUCGUGAAGUUGAACUAUGUUAGGGUGUUUGACCAUCUUCAUGACAGAGAUUUCUCUUUUGAUCUGUUCAAUCAUUCCAACUUUAAUCACUUUUUCUUUACCAACUACUUUCAUGGCUACGUUUUUUCCAGUAUUCAAAUUCUUGGCGUGGUAAACCUUAGCAAAUGUUCCGUGACCGAGUACUCGACCAAGCUCGUAUUUUCCAUCGAGCAGAGCCGAGUGAGAGUUAGGGUUUUCCUUUUCACACAUAGUUAGUAUUUACAAAGUAAUAGAAGAAAUAUGAAGGAAGAAGAGAUGAAGAUGGAGAAUAGAUCAACCGUCUUCAACGUGUUUGCGGUGGCAAUGUCUACCGCCAAUGAUUCGUUUUGUAAGAAUGCUUACAACUUCAGAUGGAGAGAACCGAUAGCAAUGGCCUCUCAUCUCUCUGCAUUCCUUCGCUGUAGACAGACAGAUACAGAGAAUUAUGAAAACGAUGAAGAAUGAUUUAAUUGGUUAAGAAAGGGUUGAAGAAUUGUGUUUGGUUUCGACAAUAAUUCUAUAUUAUUACUGACUUAUAUUAGGUUUGGUUUUAUAAUACGGCGGUGCUGGUUGGUCUCUGCUUUCGUUUUCAUUGUCUCAAUUGAUUGGUGAUCUGACGGUUCUCUCUCAAAGACAGAUUAGGUGAUGGUGGACACGUGUAUGGACCAUUGUUCUUGUCUUUUCUUCUCACCGCUUCAACCGUUUUUUUUUUUUUUUUAUGCGACGAUGAAAUUAAACCGAAUCAGUCUUUUUCUUUUGGUUUGUUUGUUUGUUUGUUUUCAUUUUUAUUUAAUU
rnacentral:lncRNA from 1 species